rnacentral:hammerhead_ribozyme from 1 species
ACCCAGCUGACGAGUCUCAAAUAGGACGAAAUGCGCAUCCUGGAU